UUGCAAUGCUACUGGCAUGGGCGAUGUCUGCUCCACAAGCUGCGUGCAUGAGAAGCCCUCUGCCGCAAACUCACCUGUACGGAACGGACGGAUCCCUCUACUAAAGGGGCUACGACGGUACCGUAAGAAUAAGCACCGGCUAACUACGUGCCAGCAGCCGCGGUACUACGUAGGGUGCGAGCGUUAAUCGGACUACUGGGCGUAAAUCGUGCGCAGGCGGUUCUGUAAGACAGUUGUGAAAUCCCCGGGCUCAACCUGGGAAUUGCAUCUGUGACUGCAUAGCUAGAGUACGGUAGAGGGGGAUGGAAUUCCGCGUGUAGCAGUGAAAUGCGUAGAUAUGCGGAGGAACACCGAUGGCGAAGGCAAUCCCCUGGACCUGUACUGACGCUCAUGCACGAAAGCGUGGGGAGCAAACAGGAUUAGAUACCCUGGUAGUCCACGCCCUAACGAUGUCAACUGGUUGUUGGGUGCAUUAGUACUCAGUAACGAAGCUACGCGUGAAGUUUGACCGCCUGGGGAGUACGGCCGCAGGUUGA
rnacentral:rRNA from 1 species